rnacentral:rRNA from 1 species
UACGGAGGGUGCAAGCGUUGUUCGGAAUCACUGGGCGUAAAGGGCGCGUAGGCGGGAUGGCAAGUCAGUCGUGAAAUCUCUCGGCUCAACCGAGAAACGUCGGCUGAUACUGCCGUUCUUGAGGGAUGCAGAGGAGACUGGAAUUCCCGGUGUAGCGGUGAAAUGUGUAGAGAUCGGGAGGAACACCGGUGGCGAAGGCGGGUCUCUGGGCAUUUCCUGACGCUGAGGCGCGAAAGCGUGGGGAGCAAACGGG